GCAGUCGACGGGGUAUCAGGGUAGUAAUACCCGAAGUACCUAGUGGCGAACGGGUGCGUAACACGUGAGCAACCUACCCCAGAGCUUGGAACAACACCGGGAAACCGGUGCUAAUACCGAAUACUCUCAUUCGGCCGCAUGACUGAAUGAGGAAAGAUUUAUCACUCUGGGACGGGCUCGCGGCCUAUCAGCUUGUUGGUGAGGUAACGGCUCACCAAGGCUACGACGGGUAGCUGGUCUGAGAGGACGAUCAGCCACACUGGGACUGAGACACGGCCCAGACUCCUACGGGAGGCAGCAGUGGGGAAUCUUGCGCAAUGGGCGAAAGCCUGACGCAGCAACGCCGCGUGAGGGAUGAAGGCCUUUGGGUUGUAAACCUCUUUCAGCAGGGACGAUUGUGACGGUACCUGCAGAAGAAGCCCCGGCUAACUACGUGCCAGCAGCCGCGGUGAUACGUAGGGGGCAAGCGUUGUCCGGAUUUAUUGGGCGUAAAGAGCUCGUAGGCGGUUUGGUAAGUCGGGUGUGAAAUCUCC
rnacentral:rRNA from 1 species